rnacentral:rRNA from 1 species
GGGGAGCCCUAGCACAGGUGCUGCAUGGCUGUCGUCUAGCUCGUGUCGUGAGAUGUUGGUAGUCCCGCAACGAGCGCAACCCCUAUUGUUAGUUGCCAUCAUUCAGUUGGGCACUCUAGCGAGACUGCCGGUAAUAAGCCGGAGGAAGGUGGGGAUGACGUCAAAUCAUCAUGCCCCUUAUGACCUGGGCUACACACGUGCUACAAUGGUUGGUACAACGAGUUGCGAAUCGGUGACGGCGAGCUAAUCUCUUAAAGCCAAUCUCAGUUCGGAUUGUAGGCUGCAACUCGCCUACAUGAAGUCGGAAUCGCUAGUAAUCGCGGAUCAGCACGCCGCGGUGAGUACGUUCCCGGGCCUU